rnacentral:misc_RNA from 1 species
GAUGAAGAACGCAGCGAAAUGCGAUACGUAGUGUGAAUUGCAGAAUUCAGUGAAUCAUCGAAUCUUUGAACGCACAUUGCACCUCUCGGUAUUCCGGGAGGUAUGCCUGUUCGAGCGUCAUUUGUACCCUCAAGCUCUGCUUGGUGUUGGGUGUUUGUUCCGCCUCUGUGUGUGAACUCGCCUCAAAACAAUUGGCAGCCGGCGUACUUGUUUCGGAGCGCAGCACAUUUUGCGAUCCAGAUCAACGUACAGCGGCAUCCAAGAAGCCUUAUUUAACGCUCUUGACCUCGGAUCAGGUAGGGAUACCCGCUGAACUUAAGCAUAUCGAUAAGCGGAGGA